UACAGAGGUGGCAAGCGUUGUUCGGAUUUAUUGGGCGUAAAGGGUUCGUAGGCGGUUCUGAAAGUCAGGUGUAGAAACGUCUCACAGGCUUAACUGUGGAACUGCAUUUGAAUACUGUCAGACUAGAGUGGUGAAGGGGUGAAGGGAAUUCCUGGUGUAAGGGUGAAAUCUGCAGAGAUCAGGAAGAACACCUGUCGCGAAGGCGCUUCGACUGGCCCACUACUGACGCUGAGGGAC
rnacentral:rRNA from 1 species